rnacentral:rRNA from 1 species
UGCGGUAGGGGAGACUGGAAUUCCCGGUGUAACGGUGGAAUGUGUAGAUAUCGGGAAGAACACCAAUGGCGAAGGCAGGUCUCUGGGCCGUCACUGACGCUGAGGAGCGAAAGCGUGGGGAGCGAACAGGAUUAGAUACCCUGGUAGUCCACGCCGUAAACGGUGGAUGCUGGAUGUGGGGACCAUUCCACGGUCUCCGUGUCGGAGCCAACGCGUUAAGCAUCCCGCCUGGGGAGUACGGCCGCAAGGCUAAAACUCAAAGAAAUUGACGGGGGCCCGCACAAGCGGCGGAGCAUGCGGAUUAAUUCGAUGCAACGCGAAGAACCUUACCUAGGCUUGACAUAUACUGGACCGCAUCAGAGAUGGUGUUUCCCUUCGGGGCUGGUACACAGGUGGUGCAUGGUUGUCGUCAGCUCGUGUCGUGAGAUGUUGGGUUAAGUCCCGCAACGAGCGCAACCCUCGCCCUGUGUUGCCAGCACGUCGUGGUGGGAACUCACGGGGGACCGCCGGGGUCAACUCGGAGGAAGGUGGGGAUGACGUCAGAUCAUCAUGCCCCUUACGUCCAGGGCUUCACGCAUGCUACAAUGGCCGGUACAACGGGAUGCGACACUGUGAGGUGGAGCGGAUCCCUUAAAACCGGUCUCAGUUCGGAUUGGAGUCUGCAACCCGACUCCAUGAAGGCGGAGUCGCUAGUAAUCGCGGAUCAGCAACGCCGCGGUGAAUGCGUUCCCGGGCCUUGUACACACCGCCCGUCAAGUCAUGAAAGUGGGUAGCACCCGAAGCCGGUGGCCCAACCUUUUGGGGGGAGCCGUCUAAGGUGAGACUCGUGAUUGGGACUAAGUCGUAACAAGGUAGCCGUACCGGAAGGUGCGGCUG